rnacentral:rRNA from 1 species
GUAGCCGGGCCCGUAAGUCCCUGGCGAAAUCCCGCGGCUCAACCGUGGGGCUUGCUGGGGAUACUGCGGGCCUUGGGACCGGGAGAGGCCGGGGGUACCCCUGGGGUAGGGGUGAAAUCCUAUAAUCCCAGGGGGACCGCCAGUGGCGAAGGCANNCCGGCUGGAACGGGUCCGACGGUGAGGGACGAAGGCCAGGGGAGCGAACCGGAUUAGAUACCCGGGUAGUCCUGGCUGUAAAGGAUGCGGGCUAGGUGUCGGGCGAGCUUCGAGCUCGCCCGGUGCCGGAGGGAAGCCGUUAAGCCCGCC